ensembl:lncRNA
AUGAUUUUAAGGAUGUUCACCUGGAGUGUUUUUACAUAUAGUUCCAUAUUGCUUUAUGUCAUUGCAGUAGCAUCCUUGUUUUGCUAUCAUCACACCAUUCGGUACACUCUUCCAUCCACAUAUCAUUCCCUCUUUAAGAGAACCCUCCUGUCAUCCCAUUGGUCAGAAUCUUGCCACACCCACUCUUCAUCCAGACAGUUUGUGUCCGGGCCUGAGGUUCGAGCGAGUCGUUCAGAGGCCCAAGGUUGCAGACUUGGUCUUUUUGUGCACGCUACCCAGAAUUCCUUGUGACAUUUGUUGUGUGAAGAUUACUCACUGGCCCGUAGCCUAGUGUAGCACAACAGCGAUGGUUUUAAAGACACAGAGUUGGCGCUGUCCCAGCCUCGACACCUCACCCACAAACUGCGCCUCCUGUCAACCCCCACAGGCACCUAUUGUGGCGAAUCAGUGACCGUACCAUUCCUUCUUUCUGCUCUUCACCAACAAAUGAUAAACUAAGUGGAAAAAAAAACAGAAUGGCAUGAAGAAGAAAAGAAGAUCCAGAGCAUGUUGCCUUUCAGCUGAAGUCGUUGAGGACAAUGCAAGUGCUGGACCAUCAUUUUCAAAUGCACUGAAAAGCAGAGUACUGACAAGUUUCAUCAAACAAACAUUUCAUUAUUAUAUUUCUUACAACACAAUGCUUCAAUGAAAAUGAAUGCAAUGUUUAAAUAGAAAAGCAACAUAAUAAUAACUAUUCAAUGCUGCCUUUACAUGCUUUUUGAUUAAGUAUGUCAUGUUAAAGUGUUUUGAUCAGUCCUGCUGAUAGUUGCCACAUGUAUCAUUUGGUUCCAAAAAGCACCUGUCUCUAUCAGCAGAUGAAAAAUAUCGGUGAAUUCUGACUGAAUCUGACUUUUAAUUAUAUUGAUUAUAAUUGUUUUAAAUGUAUUAAAAUACUGUAUAUAUUGCUAAUGUAGUAUAAUACUGUAGAUAUUUUACCAGCAUUUUUCCUUAACAUUAAAUAUAUUUUCUAUUUUUAAUGUAUGAUAAAAUAUUGUUUAUCCUUGACAAAGGCCAACAGUUAUAAAACAGAGCAAAUAUAAUGUAAAAAUACAUGAAUGAUUUGAAUCUGUUAGUCUACUUUAGACAAAUAAAUAAAUAAAUAAUAAAAAUAACCUGCA